rnacentral:rRNA from 1 species
GAUGAACGCUGGCGGCGUGCCUAAUACAUGCAAGUCGAGCGAACGGACGAGAAGCUUGCUUCUCUGAUGUUAGCGGCGGACGGGUGAGUAACACGUGGAUAACCUACCUAUAAGACUGGGAUAACUUCGGGAAACCGUAGCUAAUACCGGAUAAUAUUUUGAACCGCAUGGUUCAAAAGUGAAAGACGGUCUUGCUGUCACUUAUAGAUGGAUCCGCGCUGCAUUAGCUAGUUGGUAAGGUAACGGCUUACCAAGGCAACGAUGCAUAGCCGACCUGAGAGGGUGAUCGGCCACACUGGAACUGAGACACGGUCCAGACUCCUACGGAAGGCAGCAGUAGGGAAUCUUCCGCAAAGGGCGAAAGCCUGACGGAGCAACGCCGCGUGAGUGAUGAAGGUCUUCGGAUCGUAAAACUCUGUUAUUAGGGAAGAACAUAUGUGUAAGUAACUGUGCACAUCUUGACGGUACCUAAUCAGAAAGCCACGGCUAACUACGUG